rnacentral:rRNA from 1 species
GCGAGUGAAGCGGCAACAGCUCAAAUUUGAAAUCUGGCGCCCCUGGGCGUCCGAGUUGUAAUUUGCAGAGGAUGCUUCGGGAUCGGCGCUGCCCCAGGUUCUUUGGAACAGGACGCCAUAGAGGGUGAGAGCCCCGUCUCUGGGCGGCAGCCGAAACCGUGUGAAGCGCCUUCGACGAGUCGAGUUGUUUGGGAAUGCAGCUCAAAACGGGAGGUAAAUUUCUUCCAAGGCUAAAUACAGGCCGGAGACCGAUAGCGCACAAGUAGAGUGAUCGAAAGAUGAAAAGUACUUUGGAAAGAGAGUCAAACAGCGCGUGAAAUUGUUGAAAGGGAAGCGCUUGCAGUCAGACUUGGCCGCCCGGUUCGGCGGGGCCUCGCGCCCCGUCUCCGCCGUGGCGGUCAGGCCAGCAUUGGUUCGGGCGACCGGAGAAAGGCUGCGGGAAUGUGGCUCCUCUCGGGGAGUGUUAUAGCCCGCGGCAGAAUACGGCCAGCCCGGACCAAGGAACGCGCUUCGGCUCGGAUGCUGGCGUAAUGGCUGCAAGCGGCCCGUCUUGAAACACGGACCAAGGAGUCUAACAUCUGUGCGAGUGUUUGGGUGUCAAGCCCUUGCGCGCAAUGAAAGUGAACGGAGGUGGGAGCCCUCGGGCGCACCAUCGACCGAUCCUGAUGUCUUCGGAAGGAUUUGAGUAAGAGCACAGCUGUUGGGACCCGAAAGAUGGUGAACUAUGCCUAAGCAGGGUGAAGCCAGAGGAAACUCUGGUGGAGGCUCGCAGCGGUUCUGACGUGCAAAUCGAUCGUCAAAUUUGGGUAUAGGGGCGAAAGACUAAUCGAACCAUCUAGUAG